rnacentral:rRNA from 1 species
UACGGAGGGGGCUAGCGUUGUUCGGAAUUACUGGGCGUAAAGCGCACGUAGGCGGCUACUCAAGUCAGGGGUGAAAGCCCGGGGCUCAACCCCGGAACUGCCCUUGAAACUAGGUAGCUAGAAUCUUGGAGAGGUCAGUGGAAUUCCGAGUGUAAAGGUGAAAUUCGUAGAUAUUCGGAAGAACACCAGUGGCGAAGGCGACUGACUGGACAAGUAUUGACGCUGAGGUGCGAAAGCGUGGGGAGCAAACAGG